rnacentral:rRNA from 1 species
GACGAACGCUGGCGGCGUGCUUAACACAUGCAAGUCGAACGGUGAAGCGCCUUCCUUUUUGGUGGGUGUGGAUGAGUGGCGAACGGGUGAGUAACACGUGAGUAACCUGCCCCCUUCUUCUGGAUAACCGCAUGAAAGUGUGGCUAAUACGGGAUAUUCUGGGUCUGUCGCAUGAUGGGUCUGGGAAAGAUAUUGUUUCGGUGGGGGAUGGGCUCGCGGCCUAUCAGCUUGUUGGUGGGGUGAUGGCCUACCAAGGCGGUGACGGGUAGCCGGCCUGAGAGGGUGGACGGUCACACUGGGACUGAGACACGGCCCAGACUCCUACGGGGGGCAGCAGUGGGGAAUAUUGCACAAUGGGCGCAAGCCUGAUGCGGCGACGCCGCGUGAGGGAUGGAGGCCGUCGGGUUGUGAACCUCUUUCGCCAGUGAAGCAGGCCUGCCUCGUUUGUGGGUGGGUUGACGGUAGCUGGAUAAGAAGCGCCGGCUAACUACGUG